rnacentral:rRNA from 1 species
GACGAACGCUGGCGGCGUGCUUAACACAUGCAAGUCGAACGGAAAGGCCCUGCUUUUGUGGGGUGCUCGAGUGGCGAACGGGUGAGUAACACGUGAGUAACCUGCCCUUGACUUUGGGAUAACUUCAGGAAACUGGGGCUAAUACCGGAUAGGAGCUCCUGCUGCAUGGUGGGGGUUGGAAAGUUUCGGCGGUUGGGGAUGGACUCGCGGCUUAUCAGCUUGUUGGUGGGGUAGUGGCUUACCAAGGCUUUGACGGGUAGCCGGCCUGAGAGGGUGACCGGCCACAUUGCGACUGAGAUACGGCCCAGACUCCUACGGGAGGCAGCGGUGGGGAAUGUGGCACAGUGGGCGGGAGCCUGAUGCAGCAACGCCGCGUGCGGGAUGACGGCCUUCGGGUCGUAAACCGCUUUCGCAUGUGACGAAGCGUGAGUGACGGUAAUGGGUAAAGAAGCACCGGCUAACUACGUG